rnacentral:rRNA from 1 species
UGCAGUCGAGCGGACAGAUGGGAGCUUGCUCCCUGAUGUUAGCGGCGGACGGGUGAGUAACACGUGGGUAACCUGCCUGUAAGACUGGGAUAACUCCGGGAAACCGGGGCUAAUACCGGAUGGUUGUUUGAACCGCAUGGUUCAAACAUAAAAGGUGGCUUCGGCUACCACUUACAGAUGGACCCGCGGCGCAUUAGCUAGUUGGUGAGGUAACGGCUCACCAAGGCGACGAUGCGUAGCCGACCUGAGAGGGUGAUCGGCCACACUGGGACUGAGACACGGCCCAGACUCCUACGGGAGGCAGCAGUAGGGAAUCUUCCGCAAUGGACGAAAGUCUGACGGAGCAACGCCGCGUGAGUGAUGAAGGUUUUCGGAUCGUAAAGCUCUGUUGUUAGGGAAGAACAAGUACCGUUCGAAUAGGGCGGUACCUUGACGGUACCUAACCAGAAAGCCACGGCUAACUACGUGCCAGCAGCCGCGGUAAUACGUAGGUGGCAAGCGUUGUCCGGAAUUAUUGGGCGUAAAGGGCUCGCAGGCGGUUUCUUAAGUCUGAUGUGAAAGCCCCCGGCUCAUCCGGGGAGGGUCAUUGGAAACUGGGGAACUUGAGUGCAGAAGAGGAGAGUGGAAUUCCACGUGUAGCGGUGAAAUGCGUAGAGAUGUGGAGGAACACCAGUGGCGAAUGCGACUCUCUGGUCUG